rnacentral:tRNA from 1 species
AGGGAUAUAGCUCAGUGGUAGAGCACUGGGGAGGCCCUGGGUUCUAUCCCCAAGUGUUUUUC